rnacentral:rRNA from 2 species
CGCUAAUACCGCAUACGUCCUACGGGAGAAAGUGGGGGAUCUUCGGACCUCACGCUAUCAGAUGAGCCUAGGUCGGAUUAGCUAGUUGGUGAGGUAAAGGCUCACCAAGGCGACGAUCCGUAACUGGUCUGAGAGGAUGAUCAGUCACACUGGAACUGAGACACGGUCCAGACUCCUACGGGAGGCAGCAGUNNNGAAUAUUGGACAAUGGGCGAAAGCCUGAUCCAGCCAUGCCGCGUGUGUGAAGAAGGUCUUCGGAUUGUAAAGCACUUUAAGUUGGGAGGAAGGGCAGUAAGUUAAUACCUUGUUGUUUUGUCUUUACCGACAGAAUAAGCACCGGCUAACUUCGUGCCAGCAGCCGCGGUAAUACGAAGGGUGCAAGCGUUAAUCGGAAUUACUGGGCGUNNNNNNNGCGUAGGUGGUUCGUUAAGUUGGAUGUGAAAGCCCCGGGCUCAACCUGGGAACUGCAUNCNAAACUGGCGAGCUAGAGUAUGGCAGAGGGUGGUGGAAUUUCCUGUGUAGCGGUGAAAUGCGGAGAUAUAGGAAGGAACACCAGUGGCGAAGGCGACCACCUGGGCUAAUACUGACACUGAGGUGCGAAAGC